CAGUCGAGGGGCAGCAUGGACCCAGCUUUGCUGGGUUUGAUGGCGACCGGCGCACGGGUGAGUAACGCGUAUCCAACCUGCCCUUUACUCCGGGAUAGUCUCCUGAAAGGGAGUUUAAUACCGGAUGUGUUUGUCUUUCCGCAUGGGAGCGACAAAUAAAGAUUAAUUGGUAAAGGAUGGGGAUGCGUCCCAUUAGCUAGUUGGCGGGGUAACGGCCCACCAAGGCGACGAUGGGUAGGGGUUCUGAGAGGAAGGUCCCCCACAUUGGAACUGAGACACGGUCCAAACUCCUACGGGAGGCAGCAGUGAGGAAUAUUGGUCAAUGGGCGGGAGCCUGAACCAGCCAAGUAGCGUGAAGGACGACGGCCCUACGGGUUGUAAACUUCUUUUAUAAGGGAAUAAAGUGCGUUACGUGUAAUGUUUUGUAUGUACCUUAUGAAUAAGCAUCGGCUAAUUCCGUGCCAGCAGCCGCGGUAAUACGGAAGAUGCGAGCGUUAUCCGGAUUUAUUGGGUUUAAAGGGAGCGUAGGCGGGCUUUUAAGUCAGCGGUCAAAUGUCACGGCUCAACCGUGGCCAGCCGUUGAAACUGCAAGCCUUGAGUCUGCACAGGGCACAUGGAAUUCGUGGUGUAGCGGUGAAAUGCUUAGAUAUCACGAAGAACUCCGAUCGCGAAGGCAUUGUGCCGGGGCAGCACUGACGCUGAGGCU
rnacentral:rRNA from 1 species